AAGAAGAUGCUAGAAGAGGUAAAAUAGGGCCCCAGCUGCCAGGAAAUCAGAGCACGCAGCCUUUUCGCUUUCCACAGAGCUUCUUCCAGAUAUCAACAUAAGGGAAAGAAGAUAAUUGUCACAGCAAAGAAAGGUUCUGCUGCUACUCAACCAAAAUGAGGCCACUCGCAUCCAUUUCUUGGGCCAUGAGCAUCUGCAUGUUGGGAAGAUUUCGUGGUAUCUGAUACAGAACCCCAGAGGUGUGGAAGCUGUGCUCCCAACUCAGAUCUCUGCCUCAAACAAUACCACCAUGGUGACUCUCUUGUGUUCUUACUAUGAACAUGAUAUCUUGCUAAGGCUUCUGGAGAAGAACUUGGAACUGGAAUGCUCUGACAAGGCAGUAGAAGUCUAGUUUUGAAACACAAAUAUUAAUAUGCCGGUUGCCCUCUCCAUCUGAAUACAGAUACAAAAGGGAGGCAUUUACUACAUUGUGCUUAGCAAUGGUGCACACUGGGAAACUAUGUUAAAUUUAGACCUUGUUGAUUUAUCAUGUCUAUAUUUUUAACUGAUAAACAUAUCACAGAUGAUACUUGCUUCAAUGUCCUCACAAAAUACUUUGGAAAUGUAAUUAUUUUGUAUGUCUGAAUAAACAUAUUCCCCCCCUUUUUUGCAUCCACUGAUGCUUUCCUCUGCCACGAAGCACAUUCUCCUAUCUACAAAGCUCUGACGUAUGCAAAGAGGAAUGAUUAUAUCUUUGUUACAGACCCCUGUGAAGUAAAACCUACUGUGUGCUUCUUGGUUUUAGUAAGUGAUGCUGUGUCAUAUUUCAGUCACGAUUGCUUUUGCUUUUUUUUUUUCCUCUAAGAUGAUAAUUCAGCAAAACAAAAGAGCUGCCAUCCAGAACACACGUUGAUAUGCUUUAUUGAGUACAGGAUUCAUGUUUUCUUCUUCUGCAUAGAACAGCAGUUAAACUGAGGCACUGAUGUCAGACUCUUGAAUAUGGUGGGUAGAAUCCUUUCAAAAACUAAAUCUUUUAGUGCUCAUCUGCUUUUAGUCUUUUCAGACAAAUUGUAUUCUCAUCAAAGUGUACAUAAUGGCCAGGAAUGUUAGCUUGCACCUAUAUAUAAUUCCAGCACUAUUGGUAAGAGACAAUUCCAAAGGUCAUCCUGGGCUACAUCAUAGGUUUCAGGAAGAGUCUGGGCUGUUAUCAAAAAUGUAUCUAACACUCCAAAAAUAUAAAUUAACACAAACUAUGUAUUGGGUGUCUCACUGUAUGAAAAUAGAAUUUCUUAAAAAGAAAACUCCCUGCAGUACACAUGUAUACUCAAGAGCUUGACAAUUCCUUGUGUGCAUUAUCCAUUCACAUGAGGGAGAAGACUUAUAUUACUAAAACAGUUGUUGAAUACAGAUAUUUUCCCAGUAAUCACUGAAAUACUUUAGGGUGUCUUUAACAUAGAUUUGGAAAUGUUAACUCAAGCAGUUUCACUGCCAACAACGAGAAAACGAAAACUUCCACGGAUUAUUUUUAGUCAUGACAUGGAAAGAGAAAACGGAGUGCAGAAUUCGUCAGUUGAGGUCUUGUGACUGUGGAUGAAUUACAGGACUAGGCCUUUUCAUUCCCCCAUCUUACUUAAUAUUAAUCCAUUAUUCAAUAUGUGGAGUUCAGUCCUUUGAAGAUUGAAUUUUCUUUGGUGUGAAUAGUAUGAAUGCCCUUCUAAAAGAAGACUCACGGGCUUGUAGGGUGUUCUGUGGUAGAAUACAAACUGGAUAUGUACAACGUCAUGAGUGGGAUGCCCAGUACCACCCCAAAUCACCUCAAUAUUUUCCAUGUGCAGACUGAGUAAGAGGUGGAACUUUGUAAAUCAAGAAGUGGCCCUUAGCAUACACCAAUCUAUUGUACCUUGAUAUUAGGUUUCCCACUCUUUAGCAUUAUGAAAUAUGCAUUUCUACCUAU
rnacentral:sRNA from 1 species